rnacentral:rRNA from 1 species
CCCUUAGAUGUCCUGGGCCGCACGCGCGCUACACUGACAUGUUCAACAAGCCUCCUAGUUCGACAGGAUUUGGGAAAUCUUUGAACGCAUGUCGUGAUAGGGAUAGAUCAUUGCAAUUAUUGAUUUUGAACGAGGAAUUCCUAGUAAACGCGAGUCAUCAGCUCGCAUUGAUUACGUCCCUGCCCUUUGUACACACCGCCCGUCGCUACUACCGAUUGAACGGUUUAGUGAGGGCCUCGGAUUGGUCUCGGCCCGCUCUUUACCGGGCGGCGCCGUUGGUCGAGAAGACGCUCGAACUUGAUCGUUUAGAGGAAGUAAAAGUCGUAACA